rnacentral:rRNA from 1 species
GUGGGGAAUAUUGGGCAAUGGGGGAAACCCUGACCCAGCGACGCCGCGUGAGGGAAGACGGCCUUCGGGUUGUAAACCUCUUUUGUACGGGAAGAAGGAAGUGACGGUACUGUACGAAUAAGUCCCGGCUAACUACGUGCCAGCAGCCGCGGUAAUACGUAGGGGACGAGCGUUGUCCGGAAUUACUGGGCGUAAAGGGCGCGCAGGCUGUGCUGCAAGUCAGCUGUGAAAUGUCUGGGCUUAACCCGGGCAUGCGGUUGAGACUGCAGUGCUGGAGUGCUGUAGAGGCAAGUGGAAUUCCCAGUGUAGCGGUGAAAUGCGUAGAUAUUGGGAAGAACACCGGUGGCGAAGGCGACUUGCUGGGCAGCAACUGACGCUGAGGCGCGAAAGCCAGGGGAGCAAACAGGAUUAGAUACCCUAGUAGUCC